rfam:Candidatus Brocadia fulgida BROFTL_contig000273, whole genome shotgun sequence.
AAAGUCCCGUCGUGGUAAAAGCCGGAGCCAUGUAGCUUGGAUGGCAGGAGGUGGUGGAAACGUUGCCUUCUGAAGCCCAUCAACAAAGUCUGCAAUAAGGCAGGCGAGCAAAUAUCCGGGUUGUAACUAACGUGAACGUAGAAGUAGCCUCGUAAAGGUGUAAUUUCACUGGUCGAGCCUCUCACAAAUAGGCGAAGACAGAAUUCUUUUACCUAAACUGGCUAAUAGGGAAAAGAACGGUGGCGGGGUAUCAGCGGC